UACGGAGGGUGCAAGCGUUAUCCGGAUUCACUGGGUUUAAAGGGUGCGUAGGAGGGCAGGUAAGUCAGUGGUGAAAUCUCCAAGCUUAACUUGGAAACUGCCGUUGAUACUAUCUGUCUUGAAUACCGUGGAGGUGAGCGGAAUAUGUCAUGUAGCGGUGAAAUGCUUAGAUAUGACAUAGAACACCAAUUGCGAAGGCAGCUGGCUACACAAAUAUUGACACUGAGGCACGAAAGCGUGGGGAUCAAACAGG
rnacentral:rRNA from 1 species